rnacentral:ncRNA from 1 species
GAAGAGACUGUGAUGAGGAGUAGUAGAGAGUAUUCUUUAUUCAGAGAGCUGCCGGCUGGUGCAAGGCAGCAUAGAGAAGCUUUUGAACUGGCCUCGGAGUUCCCGUACUGAUAGCCGGAGUGCAGGUAAGUGGGGGCGGGAGUUCCCGUUACAGAACCGAAAUGAGUGCAUCCGGCAUUGUGGAUGAAUUAGAGUGGUACCACGGAAAAAUAAGCCCUUUCGUCUCUAAA